GAUCCUGGCUCAGGAUGAACGCUAGCUACAGGCUUAACACAUGCAAGUCGAGGGGCAGCAUGGUCUUAGCUUGCUUAGACUGAUGGCGACCGGCGCACGGGUGAGUAACACGUAUCCAACCUGCCGUCUACUCUUGGACAGCCUUCUGAAAGGAAGAUUAAUACAAGGUGGCAUCAUGAGUCCGCAUGUUCACAUGAUUAAAGGUAUUCCGGUAGACGAUGGGG
rnacentral:rRNA from 1 species